rnacentral:rRNA from 1 species
UUACUCAGUUCAGAUUGCAGGCUGCAACCCGCCUGCAUGAAGUCGGAAUUGCUAGUAAUCGCGGAUCAGCAUGCCGCGGUGAAUACGUUCCCGGGCCUUGUACACACCGCCCGUCACACCAUGGGAGCCGGUAAUACCCGAAGUCAGUAGUCCAACCUCGUGAGGACGCUGCCGAAGGUAGGAUUAGCGACUGGGGUGAAGUCGUAACAAGGUACC